rnacentral:rRNA from 1 species
CUACGGGCGGCUCCAGUGAGGAAUAUUGCACAAUGGGGGGAACCCUGAUGCAGCAACGCCGCGUGGAGGAUGACGCAUUUCGGUGUGUAAACUCCUUUUAUAUGUCAAGAAAAUGACGGUAGCAUAUGAAUAAGCGCCGGCUAACUCCGGGCCAGCAGCCGCGGUAAUACGGAGGGCGCCAGCGUUACUCGGAAUCACUGGGCGUAAAGGACGCGUAGGCGGGUUGAAAAGUCAGGUGUGAAAGCCUACAGCUUAACUGUAGAACUGCACUUGAAACUCUCAACCUAGAGUAUGGGAGGGGCAGAUGGAAUUAGUGGUGUAGGGGUAAAAUCCGUAGAUAUCACUAGGAAUACCUAAAGCGAAGGCGAUCUGCUGGAACAUUACUGACGCUAAGGCGUGAAAGCGUGGGGAGCAAACAGGAUUAGAUACCCGCGUAGUC